ACUCAAAGGAAUUGACGGGGACCCGCACAAGCGGUGGAACAUGUGGUUUAAUUCGAGGCAACGCGAAGAACCUUACCAGGGUUUGACAUGCUCUCUUUGAGAACCGGAAACGGAUCUCUUCAGUUCGGCUGGGAGAUGCACAGGUGCUGCAUGGCUGUCGUCAGCUCGUGUCGUGAGAUGUUGGGUUAAGUCCCGCAACGAGCGCAACCCUCGUCCUCUGUUACCAACAGGUUAAGCUGGGUACUCUGAGGAAACCGCCGGUGAUAAGCCGGAGGAAGGUGGGGAUGACGUCAAGUCCUCAUGGCCCUUACAUCCUGGGCUACACACGUGUUACAAUGGCGGUGACAAUGCGCUGCGACCCUGCGAGGGGAAGCGAAUCGCAAAAAGCCGCCUCAGUUUGGAUUGUACUCUGCAACUCGAGUACAUGAAAUUGGAAUCGCUAGUAAUCGCGGAUCAGCACGCCGCGGUGAAUACGUUCCCGGGUCUUGUACACACCGCCCGU
rnacentral:rRNA from 1 species